UUUAACAAGUGGUGACAAAACCUUUUAGGAUGCGCUGCCGAUAAAUCGGUUUUAUAAAACACUUUGAGUCGCCACCCAUUUUUUCGGCAAUGGGACCGUUUCCAAUUAAAAGUGACUUCAUUUAAUCCCAAUUUUAUUUAAGGCCAAUUAUUUUAAAAGACUGGUCAGGCGCACCAAGUGCGAUUCUGGAUAAGGGAAUUGGGUACGUCGGCCCAUUGGAAGUCGAUGCCCGAAAAACCGGCCUCUUUUAACCUACAAUUUCUAAUUUAUUUUAAUUUAGAAAAGCCAAUUUAUUUAUAUAAACCCAACCUGAAUAAAUCGAACCGAGUUCCUAUGCGGAAAAUUAUUUAAUCGUCCCAAAUAAAUUCAUUCACUGCAUUCAUAAUCAUUCAAACCACACCAACCAUUUAACCCACAGCAGUCAAGUUAAAAUAAUCAAAAGACCCGCUCUUGCCUUAUGGUUAAAGGCGGGCCACAAACCGAACCUAAAAUACAUUCUACCCAAGUUAAAUUCAAGAAACCCUAAAAACCCGAAAUCUUGCAUGAUAAUAUAUUAACGUACUAGACUUGAUUAAACCACAAUGUGCCCACAAUUGGUUGUUUCUUGAAUUAUAAAAAGAAUUGAAUAUUUAUUUGAUUGCACAAAAUUAUUAUUUUUAAAAAGGAUGAAAAUUACUUCUGGACCUCUGGAACAGUCGCGUCACGUAGCUGUUCUAUGGAAGAACAGGUGCAUGACGGAUCCAACAGUUGCGUGACACAACUAUUCGUAACUUGGGAAAAACCUUCAGGUUCAUUAGUCGUUUAUUUCAAAUAUAAGAUUAAACAAGAAAAUAAAAGUGAAAUAAAAUCAUAAACACAAACAGUUCUGUCACGCAACUAGUCGGGGCAAUAUCAUUAUGUUUUGGACAUGAACAGUUCGGUCACGCACCUUGUAGCUACGUGACGCAACUGCUCUGGUCCGUAACUACCUUUCAAACAACCCUAUUUUCGUUUUCCUUUUAUCAAAACUUAUUUUAAUAUAACUCAGAAGCAUUCAAUAAUGGGCAGGGUGCCGUUUAAUCAAUAUCACACUACUAAAACACCAAAAAAAUAAAUAAUAAUGAAUUAAUAACUAAAAAUACCAAGAAAAGUUUUAGAUAAUUACCUAACCCUCAGAUUGAGGAUUGUAAACAAUCUGAACGUCUUAAGGAACGAGAUUUCCCCAAAAGUCUUUGUUCACCAAGCUUUAACAAAUACCUCCUUUUCUUUUGCUUUUCUCUCUUUUUUUCUCUUUUUGUAUGAUUUUCAUUUUUAACUUAAUCAAUUUCUAAAGACUGUUUUUCUUCACGAAAACCCAAAAGAAUUUCCCCAGAAAAACCUAGCCGCAAUUGUCUUUUUUAUGCCCUAAAAAUUCCUCCCCUUAAGAUAAAAAAAACGCAGUAUUUAUAUGGGUAGGGCAACAGAGGAUUGCUGCGUCACGCAACUGUCGGCUUCAUGACGGACCCGAUAGCUGCGUGACGCAGCUCACUUUCUGGACCGUUGCCACGUAUCCAAAUAGAAAGUAAAACCGUUAUGUCGGCUUUCAAGGUGACGUCAUCUUAAUUGGAGUUGCGUGACGCAACUAUCAGUGCCGUCACGCACCUUAUAGCUGCAUGACGCAACUCUACUAUAAAUCAGUCACUCUCAAUUUGGUUUAAAUCAAUCUUUGGGUUUAAAGACUUCCGGACAUCCAUGAUCCCUCAUUCUGCGUCCUUGUAUCCUCAUCGGGUUAGGCGGGGGCAUAAAAACACGCAUCAACAGUUUGCCCCCCCACUUUAUCAUUAAUUGUAUAAACGAUUAAUGUUAAAGUGGUCCACUGACGCGUCUUCAAUCUGGUAAUCAUCUUCAAAGCUCAGUUUGAUUGGCUUGAAGGAUUUUGGGUUGACUUGAUCAUCUGGUCACCUCCUCAGCUCAGUUUGAUUGGCUUUUGUUGGCUCCAGUCGGAUCGGUAACGACCUCCAAAAUUCGGUCUGAUUGGCUGUGAAGAUACCUUCGAGGCUCGGUUUGAUUGGCUCAAAGGGUCUUAAUUGUCCUGAUCAACUUCAUAAUUCACCAUCAUUAACCAGGGAGAGAAUCCAAACAGCUUCGUAAUACACCAUCACUGUUAGGUGAGACCUAUCGGCUUCGGGAAACCAUCACCGUUUGGUCAUUGAGAUUGUCCUGAUCAGCUUCGCAAUAUAC
rnacentral:lncRNA from 1 species